rnacentral:rRNA from 1 species
GAUGAACGCUGACGGAAUGCUUAACACAUGCAAGUCAACCGGAACUGCGGUGCGGUUGGCGGACGGGCGAGUAACGCGUAAAGAACUUGCCCCACAGCUAGGUACAACUGUCUGAAACGAAUGCUAAUACCAGAGAGUAUGAUAUCAGGGCAUACUAGAAGCAUGAAAGCUAUAUGCGCUGAGAGUGAGCUGUGCGUUCCAUUAGCUAGUUGUAGAGGUAUCGGCUCGCCAAGGCGAUGAUGGGUGGCCGGCCUGGGAGGGUGAACGGCCACAAGGGACUGAGGUCCCGGCCCGUACUCUACCGGGGGGCAGAGGUGGGAAAAUUUCGAAAAGGGACCAAGCGUCUGAUCGAGCAACUCUGUGUGCAAGAUGAGGUUUUUCGGUAUGUACAGUGCUUUCAGUUGGGAAGAAAAGAAUGACGGUACCGAGUGAAGAAGCAACGGCUAACUACGUG